rnacentral:rRNA from 1 species
AGUGAACGCUGGCGGUAGGCCUAACACAUGCAAGUCGAACGGCAGCACAGUAAGAGCUUGCUCUUACGGGUGGCGAGUGGCGGACGGGUGAGGAAUACAUCGGAAUCUACUUUUUCGUGGGGGAUAACGUAGGGAAACUUACGCUAAUACCGCAUACGACCUACGGGUGAAAGCAGGGGAUCUUCGGACCUUGCGCGAUUGAAUGAGCCGAUGUCGGAUUAGCUAGUUGGCGGGGUAAAGGCCCACCAAGGCGCCGAUCCGUAGCUGGUCUGAGAGGAUGAUCAGCCACACUGGAACGGAGACACGGUCCAGACUCCUACGGGAGGCAGCAGUGGGGAAUAUUGGACAAGGGGCGCAAGCCUGAUCCAGCCAUACCGCGUGGGUGAAGAAGGCCUUCGGGUUGGAAAGCCCUUUUGUUGGGAAAGAAAAGCAGCAGGUUAAUACCCCGCUGUUCUGACGGUACCCAAAGAAUAAGCACCGGCUAACUUCGUG